CAGGGAGAUGUACCUGUAGGAG
rnacentral:miRNA from 1 species